rnacentral:rRNA from 1 species
GUGGGGAAUCUUGCGCAAUGGGCGAAAGCCUGACGCAGCAACGCCGCGUGUGUGAUGAAGGUCUUCGGAUUGUAAAGCACUUUCGACCGGGACGAAACCGGACUGGCCAAUAUCCAGUUCUCUGACGGUACCGGGAGAAGAAGCACCGGCUAACUCUGUGCCAGCAGCCGCGGUAAUACAGAGGGUGCAAGCGUUGUUCGGAAUUAUUGGGCGUAAAGCGCGUGUAGGCGGCCUUGCAAGUCGGGUGUGAAAGCCCUCAGCUCAACUGAGGAAGUGCGCCCGAAACUGCAGAGCUUGAGUACCGGAGAGGAUGGUGGAAUUCCCCAAGUAGAGGUGAAAUUUGUAGAUAUGGGGAGGAACACCGGUGGCGAAGGCGACCAUCUGGACGGAUACUGACGCUGAGACGCGAAAGCGUGGGGAGCAAACAGGAUUAGAUACCCGGGUAGUCC